rnacentral:lncRNA from 1 species
AUUCAGACCCCGGGAAAAUGCUGUGGGGUGAUGCAAGUGAUCACACGGGUGGAGGAAAAUGCCAGUCUUUGUUCUGGAAUAUCCUGUUCAAAACACAGCUAAGCAGUGCUAGUGAUAGUGAUGUAAAAUAAAUUAAAGACACCCAACUGAAGUAUCAUAAAGUCCAGCACAUCUUAUGAGCACUAAAAAAAAAAUAACUAAAAUAGAAGAGAGUAAGUUUAGUAAACUAAUGGUUUGCUUAAGAAAAUAGUUUUGUUUGUUUGUUUGUUUAACAGAGAUCUGAUAUGCUUGGCAUGAAGCAUGGGUCAGAAGAUCUCACUGGAGUGCUAAACCAAUUUUCCAGUAAGGUCUGCAAGCCCAGCUUUGAGAACACCAGAGUUUGUUCCAGCUGCAAAAAAGCACAUUACAAGUCCACCCGACCAAAUCUUAAGGCCUUCUGGUCAUUUGUUACAGAGCUCUUACUGGAAACAAAACUCGCCGUAGUUUAAUCCUGAUGGAUAAAAAGCAGCUGAGCACGCACCCUUCCCUCUGAUUUCCAUAGCAGUUGUUGCUGAGUAAGGGCUGGAUAGGGCUCCUGCUCCCGCAUCAGGACUGCUGACACGAGCAUGUGGGAGGAAGAUGAAGCUGCGCGAGGGCAGACUUCACUUCAGGAGCUGGUCCUUUCUUCUUUCACACGGAUGGGAGUGGUCACAGCGCGCUUUCCUGCCACAUCAGUCUCAACAGAUCCUUGCACAACUUGGCCUGUUUUAAGCUUUUAACAAGGGUGUAGGAGUUCAGAAAAAACUACCUCCCUUCCCCCAAGAAAAAUUUAAUUGCAAAGGUUUGUUUUGAUGUAGCAUGUACAGUAAACUUGAAUCACUGAAAGUGAACCGCACAUUUGUGGAAGUGUUUUUUUUCUUGCCCUAGUUUUUGUUCCUAGUUAGCUAUUCAUUUUGUUUCACUCUUGGAGAAAACACGCUGGAGACUUCAUCCUGCUGCCGGUGAGGCUGAUGGCAGAGUCCCUAAGGCCAUCACCCCUGAGGCUGUGAGACAGCUCCUCUCUGUUGACCCCACUGGGGCUGUCCCAGUAUAUACCAGAAGGCAAUCUGCUCCCCGUCAUCCCUAAUGCAGACAGACCUUGGCGUGACUCAUUUUACAGGCCAAAGCAAGCAUUAAUUCCCAGUAAUAAUAACAAAGUGGUGCAUGCUGAUAGGUUCCACUCUCAUUGUAGCUGUGUUGCUAAUUAGGAGUGCUGCUAAUUCUUUAUAACACCCGUUUGUUUUAACACUCAGAGAUCAGGAGCCUAGUGUUUUUAAGGUUGCGUACAAACAAAAGCUUCGAUGCUACAGCACUAUAUGUGCUAAAAGCUCAUGCAUAUUUGUACUUCAGUGUCAAGAUCAUGGUCCUUGCAAGCUCUGUAAACCUUAGCUGAGGCCAACACAGAUGCUUCAGAUUUAUUCUUCUAUUAACAGGCUCAGAAUCUAGAUCUUGGUUAUUAUUAUCACCAGUACACAGCAUGCCAAGAUGUGAAGGACAAGUGGAAGGACAGUCUAAAAUGCAAAUGAUGCAAUAAAUGGGCAUAGUAAGUAACA